AGCAGCCGCCACGGUAAUACGUAGGGUGCAAGCGUUAAUCGGAAUUACUGGGCGUAAAGCGUGCGCAGGCGGUCAUAUAAGUCAGAUGUGAAAUCCCCGGGCUCAACCUGGGAACUGCAUUUGAGACUGUAUGGCUAGAGUGUGUCAGAGGGGGGUAGAAUUCCACGUGUAGCAGUGAAAUGCGUAGAUAUGUGGAGGAAUACCGAUGGCGAAGGCAGCCCCCUGGGAUAACACUGACGCUCAUGCACGAAAGCGUGGGGAGCAAACAGGAUUAGAUACCCGCGUAGUCCCUGUCUCUUAUAC
rnacentral:rRNA from 1 species